GCUCUUGUUCUUCUUCUUCUUGUUCCUCUUCUGGAACAUAGCUAGCCAGAAACUCAACAUAGUCAGCAUCAUCUUCAUUCUCUUCAGCCUCAGAAUCUGAUGAGAUGAUUAUUAUCUCAGCGUCUUGUGGUUUCUUGUUGUCUUCUUUAUUCUUCUCAUCUUCUUCGCGUUUUUCGUCUUCUUUCCUUCUCUUAAACUCUGCGAUGCGUAAACUAAAUCUUUUCAUUAUUCCUAAUUUCUCUUGCUUCACUUGUUUAUUCUUGUUU
rnacentral:lncRNA from 1 species